rnacentral:snoRNA from 20 species
AACAAUGUCUUAAUUGAUAGACGCCCAGAGUCACGAUUCGUCUUAGUUUUAGAAAAUUCUAUUUCGAUAGUUUUUUUUAGACGGUGGACGUAUAUAGUUUACUAUACGGUGGGGUACUAAUACUAUUUCACUGUCGUGCUCGCGGUUGAUCUUAGAUAAAAAAAUUUCUUUUUUAUAAAAGGAAGUGAGUAGAUCUUCCCUGGAAGUACGAUCAAUGUACUUAUGAUUAGAUUUUCUUCACGCACAUAC